rnacentral:lncRNA from 1 species
UGACCGUCGGAAAAUUGAGGCGAAUUAUGAAAGAGAGUGGCCAUGAUGUGGAAUCUGAUGAGCGGCGGCGGCGGUGGGGCGAGAAUUGAGGCGGAGAAAAUGAGUGGACUCAGUUGUUGGACGCUUGUGACGGUGAUGAAACAGGUGGUUUUGAUUCUCUGACAUAAAAACUUAGGUCGGUUGAUUGAUUUGUUGUGAUCAAACAAUUUUUAUUUUUCUUAGUUAUAUUUGUUUUAUUCGGUUGAUGUUAGUUACUGCAGUAUUAUUCAAUUGAAUACUUUAAUCGGAAAAUAUUACCCAACUUUGUUCGUAUACAGGUUCAUAGGAUACAAUUUAUAAAGGCGUUUUCGAUUCCUUUUUCUCCAUUUUUGUCUUUUUCAUUUCCACCGACUGCCACAUGAUUUUGCAUGAGAUCUCAUCAAACUCGUUUAUGGGAUCUCUGAUUAACGAAAAUUCCUAUUAAAAGGAUUACGUACUGUAUUUGCUAUUAAAGAGCAAGAGUUGUACUGGUCCAGAGAAGAUUAACAUAAUCCCUGUGAAUGGAUAUUUACUAAGAAAAGAGUUAUUUAAGUUGCCGAGAAACUAAGAGCAUAAUCAUGUUGAUUUCUGCUAAAGAUAGUAAGUUUUGCUGUUACUUUAUUUACAAGCUAAGUUACCGAAGUAUGUACAUUUGUUGGCAUGUUGCUUUUAAGGAAGUAACCCAAUGAUCAAGUGGUUACAUUGAAAAUGUAAUAUCACGUGUUUAAAUUGUGGUUACUGGUUUACUGCUAUUAAUAUUAGUCUUGUCUGAGCCUUGUUAACUAUAUUCAUAAAGAAGUGAUUUGUAUACAUAAAAUAGGUGGUAGGUUUAAUACAUUCACUAAUUGAAAUCAUCUUUGCUAUUAGGUCACUUCAAAUAUUCUUUUCUGAAUAUCUAUUUUGUCUUUCAGUUGGUCUAUUGCUCAAAUUUUUCUUAGUUUGAUUCCCUAGCUAGUUGACAAUAAUUUGUUUCAAAUGACUGGAGCUCUGCUUGUCUAGGUUGUGGUUGAAUUUCUGAAUAUUUUUGCAAUUUCGUUGAAGCUGAAACCUUAUAGAAUAGUUAUCUCGCCUCAUUUAUCGAUAUUUACUAUAGCUAUAUUUCAUAGGCAACAUACUUGGAUUCUAGACUAACAAUGUAUCCUUGGGAGUAGUAUAAUAUCUUAGUUGCCCUUAAUUAGGGGUGUCAAUGAUUCGGUUCGGCCGGUUAUUUUAUAAAUUUUGUACCAUAUCAAUUGUUCGGUUAUUCUAUUAUGUACAACCAAAAUUAGACUUUUCGAAACCGUCCUAACUAUAUCGGUUUCUCUUCGGUAUCGGUUCGGUUCGGUUAAUUUUCGGUUUUUCUUAAAUGUCAUGUAAAAGUCACUAGAAGAAGUAAAAUACAGUAACAUACGUACUUUUAUAGGACUUAGUAAAACUCUCUAAACAUUUUUACAUUUUAAAGGGUGAUGAAUUAAGAAAAUAUGAAAGAUGGCUAGAGUAUAGAUCCAUCAAUAUUCUACCGUAGCGUCAAAAAAUUAAGCAAAUUAAUACAAAGAAAAUAUAAAUCACACGAGUGGAAAUAUAUUAAUCAAGUUGAGACUGAGACUCAAGAAUUAAGUCUAUAGAAGAUUAAAUAUUUAAAAAGAUAAAUCUAAAUCAAACGAGAGGAAACAUAAUACAUUGUAGUUUGCUACUCAUAAUCGCUACAAUACCUUGUGUCUUGCUAGUGAAUAUACUGAAAAUAAUUUAGUUUUUAUAGGAGUAGCAUAAUAGGUUUGGGAAUUAAGAUUUUGUGUUUAAUUACUUGUUAGCUUGUAACUAUUUUCAUAAUUACAAGAACCAAGAAAAAUUAAAUGCUUUAUUAUUUUUAAACUUAAUAUAUAAAUAUAGUUUUAACAUGUAAAUUUUUUCGGUACGGUUCGGUAUUUUUCGGUUUAUUUUCAUAAAAUAAAAAGAACCUAUCCUAAUUAUCGGUACGGUUAUAGAUUUACAUAAAAAGCUACGAUUUUAUUAAAAGAAACCUAACAAUCGGUUCGGUAUGGUACGGUUCGGUCGUUUUAGUCGGUCUUUAAAUAUCCAUUGACACCCCUACCCUUAAUUAACUAGUUAAGCAUCUUUUGGCAAGCCAAUUUCAUCAUUGGAUCCGAUCCAAUUCUCCUUUUAUAUAAUCUUUUUUUCAUUUUCACUCUUUGCUGCAUAAUUGGCUAAGUACAACAACCUAGUGGGAUCCCACAAGUGGGGUCUGAGGAAGGUAAUAUGUACGUAGACCUUGCCCCUAACCUGGAGGGCAGGGAGACUUUUUCGAAAGGCCCUCGGCUCGAGAGGAAGAAUAGGAAUAAGUAAAUAAAAACAAGGCCAAGAAAAUGAUAUCAACAAUGCAAGGACCGGAGAAAAAUAAAUUGAAGAGAGCAGUAGCAAUAGCAAUAUCAAAAGUAAUAUCCACAAGCAAUAACACGACAGGGUGCUAGAAAACCGAAGCGGAAGAUAGUACUAAAAUAACCCUAAUACUAGCAUUCUAAGAAUCGAAGACAAUGUACUAGUCAACUAGCCCUAAUAAACCUGGAACAGACCAGAAAAAUACACGACGACCUAUUACCUUUCUACCCUAAUCUUAGACCUCCAUAGCCUCCUGUCAAGGGUCAUGUCCUCGGUAAGCUGAAGUCGCGCCAUGUCCUCGGUAAGCUGAAGUCGCACCAUGUCUUGCCCGAUCACCUCUCCCCAGUGCUUCUUAGGCCGCCCUCACCUCUUCUCCUACCUGCCAGCGCUAGCCGUUCACACCUCCUCACUGGAGCAUCUAGGCUUCUCCUUCUCACAUGCCCGAACCAUCUAAGCCUCGCUUCAUGCAUUUUAUCUUCCAUAGGGGCCACACCCACUUUCUCCCAAAUAACUUCAUUCCUAAUUUUGUCCAAUCUAGUGUGCCCACACAUUUAUUGCAACAUUCUCAUUUCGGCUAUGUUCAUCUUCUCGAUAUGAGAGUUCUUGACUGGCCAGCAUUCUGCCCCAUAUAGCAUAGCCAGUCUAACCGCCGCCUUGUCGAACUGACUCUUAAGUUUUGGUGGCACAUUCUUGUCACACAGAACGCCAGAUGCUAGCCUCCAUAUCCACCCCGCCUCUAUACCGUGUGUGACAUCCCCAUCAAUCUCCCUGUCCCCUUGGAUAACUGGCCCGAGAUACUUGAAACUUACUCUCUUGGGGAUGACUUGUGAAUUAAGCCUCACGUCUAGCCGGAAAAUGUUCCGAAUCUCCUCUCACUAUCCUCACCCGAGUCUUAGCUCCAGCAUACAUGUCCCUAAUCUCUCUAAUGUACGCUAUAGGAACACCUCUAGCCUCCAAGCAUUUCCAAAGGACCUCCGGAGGGACCUUCUCGUACGCUUUCUCUAGGUCAAUAAACACCAUAUGCAAAUCUUUUUUCCUAUUCGCCUAACAAGAUGGAUGGCUUCCGUAGUCGAACGUCCCGGCAUGAAACCGAACUGGUUCUCAGAAAUAGACAUUGUCUUUCUAACCCUCGCUUCUACCACCCUUUCCCACACUUUCAUCGUGUGACUAAGUAACUGGAUACCCCUAUAAUUAUUGCAAUUUUGAAUACCUCCUUUGUUCUUGUACAACGGGAUCAUCGUACUCCACCUUCAUUCCUUGGGCAUCACUUAAUUGGCUAAGUGACAAUUAUAUAAGUGUCUCAAGGAGAACAGUUUAGUGACCAAGAGAGUAGCAUUGGAACCAUGGUGAGAAGGGUAUAGCAUGAAUCACUACUACUGUUUCAGUUGGAUCCUUCCCUUUUAUACACAGAUUGCUGGACUCCGGGGAGGAGCUAACCUUCUGCUUACGGGUUCGGCCGAAUCCAGUAGCUUUUGUGCAGACUCUGUAUUUGUCUUGAAAAAUUCAUGGAAUAUGUAUAAAUUAUUAUUGUAGAACCCAGUAACUUAAAAGAACUAGAAACCCGAACCAAUAAGCUUCAAAUACUGGCUCCGCCUCUGACUGGACUCCGCCAAUAUUUAGCAGUACCAUUCUCCUUUUCAACUUUGAUCAUUUUCAUCAUCUAUGGCCCUAAUACUAUGGUUCUCCGAUCCGUCAAAUUGUAAGCUCGCUAUGUGGUCUACUUCUCUGUCUAUGGAAACCUUUUCAAGUCAUCCAUUCUCUUUCGUAUGUAUACAAAGUAAUCUGUCACGCCUUUCUUCACCAACAUCCGUUUCUCAUUCAAGAAACUGGUGAAAGUUUUUUUCCUUUGCUACAACUUUCACAGUCUCACUACUCCUUAGACUAGAUUGGGCUGCAUUGCCAAGGCUCCUCGAGAUACUUUAUUAAAACAGACUUUCCAUAGUUUGAUUGAAAUUAGUAUAUUACGAAUAAUUUAACAAUUGAUUUCCAUAAUUUUAAUUAUACAUGUGACGUGGGCAGAAUGCCAUGAACAAAUGUACCAGAAGCGAGAUCCAGAACAAGAGACAAAAGAACUAUGAUCAAUAAUAACCAAUAAUGGACUUUGUCAUGAUUGAAAGGUGAAGUUUCAUCUAUGAUUAGUGAUGUGUGGACCACUUAACUGGUUGGCAUCCAGUAAGUCAGUUUCCACUUUCCAGUCAUUGCAGAAUACGGUUCCUCAUUCACAAUUCAUUGUCUACACAGAUAAAUACGAUGUGUCCAAAUAAGCUAACGCCCGAGCCUAUAAGAUACGUACUAGAAUAAAUCUAAAAUUCUCCUGGUCCACUGUACAAUGAUAUGGGUCGUCAUGUGGUGCAAAAUUUCAAGUUUUCAACAUAUAGUCUUCGAUAAGGACUUUUGUCCUACUAUAAUCUACACUCGUGAUUCCAUCUUGAGUGAAGAUUCGAGUUACCCCUUGCUCUAGGAUGUGUAAAACCUGUGCCUACAAUCAUUUGUUAGACUAUGGUAGGACCAGGGAAUUUUAUGGGCCACAGCCCACAGGGUUUUGGUUCAGGUUUAGUGGUUGCAGUGAUACGAAGAUUAGACGCACGUCACAAGUUGAAACACUACAUAGAGGUAAUCCGGAAUCUUGAACAUAUGCGCCAACUAUCGCCGAGUCCCCGGUAUUAGAAGAAACAAAGGGAACUUUGUAUGACAAUCUAACUCUUUUGACUUUUAGUAGCCUAAUCCUUGAAAUUAGAAAGAAAGCUCCCAUCAUAGAGCUUCUUGCCGCUGUCUGAGUUGCGCGAACUCUUCGUUUCUCGACACGGGACGGCUGCGGGUGCGGGAUACGUCCAGGAUUCGGUCAACUAACUUCAGAUACUUCAUCGACAAAUUCGGGGGGAAAUUUGAGAUUUUGAUUUCUCACAUUUUAAAAAUAAAACAGAUUUAAGACAUAGAAAAUGACAUAACUUCAAUAUUGUAGUACUUUUGUCUCAUAUUUUUGCUGCUUUGUGUUUCAUAAAAAUAAAAAAUUCAAAGGGUCGUGUUUUGAGUUCGGACUUCUGGUUGAUAGUAGCAGCGAUAUAGAUGGUGGGUUUUUCACAUAAUAGCUCUCAAAAUUUAUAACAUCUUUAUAGCUCUAUUUUUUAUAAUUUUGAAUUUUAUUAGCCGAAUCCCCGCACUCAUAUCCAUACGUGCAUCCGCACCCCCGAAUCUUAAAUUUAGAUUUUGCCGAAUCCGACACUCGGAUCCGUGCCCGUAUCGGAUACCUGGACCCAAGUUCGAGCAACUUAGGCCGCUGUAGUGUGGUUGCUAAAAGUUCUGUGCCAACUUUUACCCUACAUUUAGGGAAGGAAAGAAGAGAAGGAAAGGUACAAAGAAAAAGAAAAUUAAUGCAGUCUAUUCAAGAACAGAACUGUAUUUGAAGCUGUUGAUCAAGUUCCUUAUGAUAUGAAACUGGAGCAAAUUAUGCAAAAUUGUUAGAAAUAGCAAAGUAUAAUGUGUUAACGUCGAUUGGCAAAAGAAGUCAUACUUAUAAAACUAAGUAAAUUUUGUAUUGUUCCUCCAUUAAAAGAAAAGUACAUUCUCAGCUAAUCAAAACUUCAGCUUCAGUGCAACACUGCAAAACAUGAGGCUACAGUAGUAUUGCCAAUUCACCAAUAAUUAGAAGGGGUUAAGAUAUCUAAUCUCUACUUGUAACUUAAUCAUUUCACCAACACUCUUUCUUUCAACAAAUAACCCCAUAACUGAUGCCACUUAAUCUGGUCUCCAACAAAGCACUGCUUCAAUGGAUCCCACCACUAAAACAAAAAGAUUGUGUUCGAACUUCAAACACCACCCUUCCCCACAAACACCCCAAAAGAAAAAGAUAAAGAGAAGAAAAGAAAGAGUGGAGUUUGCCGAAGUGAGGGGUGUAAUCUAAAAGAUAGGUCAAUAAGACCAGAAAAUAAAGGCCAUGGAAGCCAAAUUUUUAGGAUGCUUCGCGAAGAUAAGAGAAUCCCAGCCUUCACUUCCUAUGAAUAAAGAUGACUGCGGCCCUAGGACUUUGUUUUGGUUUAGUGGUAAGAGCAAUGUAUGGGUUAGGUAGAUGUGCGGGCCGAGUUUCAACAGUACCCCAACUAGCACUUGUACAUUCCUCGGUUACCAAAAAAAAUGAACCUAGAUAACUGUAUACUCUCACACUUGAACGAUGAGGAAAUUACAAAACCCAACUUUCUCAAGAAACAAAGGAAGCUCAUGGUCUUUGUUAUCCCUUAAUUCUGAUCAUUUAGCUUCAUGGUUAAUAUAUUAACAUCAAUGCUUAUGGACCAUAUUGCGUUUAAGCUAAAUUGUGGAAGCUGAAAGUAUCAGGAUGCAACAAAAAAUCCGUUGUCAUGUCAAGUAAGAUUUCAAGAACCAACAAAAUGAAGAGAUGACCUAUACAUUUACAGGACUUAAAAAACAAAAGAGAAAUGUAGUAAAUAAUAGUUGCAGAAUCAAGACUGAAAUCAAGCUGAUUAUCAAGUAUGGCAUGCUUUGCUGAAUUUGCUUCUAAAAGAAUACUACACAAAAGGCAAACUCACCUCUAAGUUAUCAUUUAACAAAAAAGACCAAACAAAGAGAAUAAGAGAUCAGAAUUCACUACAUGCCUUCUGUUCUUCUAAGCCAUGGCAAGUCCAUACUAGAAGGAGGUCGAUCGUCCAUUUGAAAGUCUGAAGAACUCGCGAAUUUGCCUCUUUUCGACCAUAGCCAAAUCUUGGAAACAGAAUAGCUAUCUGUUUUUCUCCCAAUACCUAUCUUUUUCCCCUCGUUAUCUGCGUCAAUUGAUGGAUUAGGAUCCUUCUCAACCAAAUUGGCUCGAUUCAUAUUGUUUGCCUUCCGUUCACUGCUCAAGGCUACCUUAAGAUUAACAUCACCAACCACAUACUGAUAUGAACCCAUUGAAAAGCACCUUCUAGCAUCCAAAUUACUACUACUGCUUUCUCCUACACCUUCUCCUUCCCCUGCCCCAUUAUCCAAUUUUCGAAACUUACCAAGUCUCACAGGAAAGGUCGCUUUAGCACCUGCAACUUCUUCUAUUUCAAUUGUUUUAUGAGAAGUGGAGAACUCAUGAUCCGCAUUACCACGAUAUCCAUCAUCUUCUCUUGGCUCAUCGAAAUCAAACAUUGGAUUUUCUAUUGGAAACCCGGGAUUGUAAAGGGCUCCUCGACAAAGGGGGCAUGUUGAGUUUGAGAGGAGCCAAGUAUCAAUGCAGUUGAUAUGAAAAGCAUGGCUGCAAGUAGGGAGCAAUCUCAAUUUGUCCUUGUCAGAGAAUUCACACAAACAAACAGCACAAUCAAAUGGCUCUUUAGGACCCACAACUUCUUUGUACAUAAAGACAGGCAAUGCAUCAAUAAAUGCUUGAUCCAAACCAGAGUCAUGUAAAUGGAAUAGCUGCUGUAACUGUCUUUGUAAAGCAUCUGAAGUAGAAACUUCAGGGUAUCCAUUAGACUGAGAUGAUGCUGAAGAAGAAGGGUGUUUGAUAAGGAAUCUAACUAGCAAGUGGAGUAGACCAGAUAUGAAAAAUAGGACAGCUAAUAUUACUAUAAUAAAAAGAACAGCUGGACUAAUUUUGUUGGAAGAACUAGAAGUGUUUGGUUCAUUGUGAAAAUUAGAACUUGAGCCAAAUGAAGGAGGAGAUGGGGGAAACAGAGGAGGGGGAUAUGUAAAGACACCAUCUUUUUUAUGUUGAAUCCAAGAAUUUUUCAAAUGGGUAUGACCAGAAACCCAUCUUUGUGACCUAACUUGAGCAAAUGAACAAAUCAUCUUUAACAACACAUUCAAAAAAACCAAAUACCAGCAACUUUUCAACUUCUUUUCACCAUCUCUGAACCAAAAAAUCCAACACCCGAAAUCACAAAUUUUAUCCUCAGAUUCAAGAAAAUGGUGGUUGCAUCAGAAAGUUGCAAUCUUGCAGCAGGUUGGGGCGGUGGUAAGGCAGCAAUAUUUUAAUUGCUUUAUUUCACUGACAGUGCAAAUAACAGCAGAUAGUGAUGAAACCAAGCAGAAAAUGCUAAAGGCAGAAUCUUUACCUGUCUUGAUUUCCACUUAGUAGGCACCAUUAUUCAGGACAUAAUAAUACUUAUAAGAACCCCUUAAUAUUAAAAAUCACUUCUUGUAGCAGCAAAACCUUAAACACUUAGUACCUAAUGAGGAUCUUGAAAUACCUUAUACAGCAGAAAUAAGGAAAAAGUUUGAAUAUUUGAGCCUACACCUCUUCUCUCUCUCUCUCUCUCUCUCUCUCUCUCUCUUUCUAUAUGUUUAACAAUUUCUACCAAACUACAGAACAGAGAGUGUGUGUGUGAGAAAAUAUAAAUAAAUAAACAAGGGAAAAAUGAGAAGUUGGGUUUCUGUUUUUGAACUGGAAAAGGACAUUGACUUAUUUGGAAGCCAAAGGCUGGCACUGACAAGCGUCACUAUUCUCCAAAAUAAACAGUAAACAAUGCCAUGAAAUAAAAAAGAAACAGUAAAGAGUGCCAAAAAGAAAUACNNNNNNNNNNNNNNNNNNNNNNNNNUCAGUACUGUCGCACUUUUUAAUUCCUUAAAUAAAAGAUUAAAGGUAAAGGGGAAAAAAGUAAAGGAGAAAAAAAGGGGGAAAAGAAAAAGGAAAAAAAGUUUCAAAUUAUGCACUUUCCCAAAAAACUCACAUAUUUAAGUAGGAAAUAAAUAAGAUUUAAUUGGGAAACAUUAAUGAUGAAAUAACUGAAAUGGAAAUAUUAUUAUUAUGAUUCGAAUAGCAUUCAACUGGAAUGUACUUAUACAAGUUUCAAAUCUCAAACUCGCGCCUGGUGAUUUUAUUCACACAUUUAAUAAGAAAUAAAUAAGAUUUAAUUGGAAAAUAUUAAUGAUGAAACGAUUAAAAUGAAAAUAUUUCAUUACGAUAAGAAUAGCAAUGUCUUAACUACUAGAAUUAGCCUCUAAUUACUAAUAUUUCCUUUAAUUAGGUAUGUUGACGAUAUUCUUACACAAUUAAACGUCUCCCUUUCAAAAAUGUUUUUUUUUUUUGGUUUAACUUUCUUGAAGUUUAAGCAAAUGUGACAUACGUUUUGCAAGUUUAAGAAGAUUAGAUUCCUUUCAUACUGCAUUGGAUCUGAGAAAAAUUUAAAAGGAUUUAAAUGCAUAAAUAAUCGUUUGAUAUAAAAUCUCCCAACUUGGAAGAAUUUAAAAUUUAUAUUUGUUUAACGGCUUUAAAAGUAGUAAGCAUUAUAAUUAGCAUAUCGUGACAAAUCAAGCCAAGCUGGAAAAAUAAAAUAUAUCUACAUAUAUCACAUGAAUGUUAAAUCAGUACUUUUGCAAAAGAAAUGGUUUAAGCCAAGCCUCUUAAUUCCCUUUUCUAGAAAAUUACGUGUAAAUGAUGAUGAUGGUUUAUUUAGCUGUCACUUAUUGAAGGAUAAGACUAUAUAUGCAAGUAGGCUGGUUUAUCUUUAUUAAGAAGGCAAUUAAUUAGGUGAAGAAUAUAUGAAAACAAGUGUUAGUUGUUGAUAAAGGGAUAAUAAGCACAUUAUAAUCCCCACAUUGCACCACACGAUGCGCUUACCUUCUUCUUGAAUCAUCAACAAUGAAUCAAUAAUUUGUUAUUUCGUGAUUGUGACUUCACAUAAUAAGUUGCUAAUACAGACAUUAGGGUUCCUAAAGUCAAAUUCAUAAUUACCUACUUCCACAUUAUAUAUGUGGUCAUUCAAGCUUAUAAGUCUAAAUUCCAACAUUUUGUCUUUGAGUUGUUUACUUGGUUGCACAAAACAAGUCUAUUUCAUGGUUCUAGGCCCAAAUUCAUUUUGGCGCACUUUAUCUCAAGGCCCAAAGAAGUUAACUUCUACGCGAUCUAUAUGAAAAUAACUUUGCAUGGGCAGCCCGAUGCACAAGGUAUCAUGGGCUCAUGCAGGAUCUAGGAAAGAGCCGCAUUUCAUAUGGUACAUAUGAUGUAGACAACUUAUUCUGAUGCAAUCAUUUGUGGCUGCUUCUUCGCAUGUGGAGGGUAUUUUUGUAAGCAAACAAUUCUUAAAAAAAUUAUGCAAUGCAUAUUAUUUUUAAUAUACAAAACCAAACAAUUAAUAGAAAAUAAUCCAAAAAUAACUAAUCUCAAUAUUACUAAUACACUAUAUUCAGUAUUAUUCUUACACACCCUACUAAACUACCCGUCAGUGUGCAGUAUCAAAUUCAACGCUAAUAAGAUCAUGUUAGAUAUUCAAUUGAUGUGGCAUGUCCACGGAAAUUGAGGCCAACCAAGUUUUGUCAAAGUAUUUCAAAUGAUAUGUUCCAAGUCCGAACCAAUCAAAAACGCCUUCAUCACAUUCCAAGAGGUUCUUCGUAAAGUCAAAGGAUCUGCAAGAUAGCCAAGAGAGUACUCUGGAGAACACUAAUUUCAAGAUCCUCAUCAAAAAAAUAUUCAGUCAUUUAAAUGAAGUUCAACUUUCUAUAUCCUUUUUUUUCUCUUUUUUUUAUUAACGAAUCGGAAUGACAAAUAGGUGAAUUUUAGAUGCCAUUUACAAUAUCCUUUUUCUAGCUAAUAUUGAAAAGGAGAGGUCAUUAAAAUAACUGAGCUUAUUAUAGUACACAAGACAAUACUAUAGACAAACAAAUGCCAACUUGAUUAAUGACAUCACCCUAUACCCACACAAAACAAAACAAACAUUGUCAAUUUAGUACGGAAUCAUGUGUUUUGAGUCACUUGACACAUACCAGUCAUCUGAAAAGCUAUUCUCAUGUUUUUCAUCUAUGAAAAGCAACUGUCUUUUAUCAGAUUCUGAACAAGAUUUCAUUAUUUAUCAUAGAAUAGAGCACUGAGCAGCAACACUGAGAGUGUAAAGAAGAGAAAUGGUUAUAAUGGAGAUGCAAUCUUGGUCAAAGGAUGUUUUCCCUUUUGUUGCAAUGGUGUUGGUGGAAUGCUGUGAAAUGGGAAUGAUUACACUUGGAAAAGCAGCUAUGAAUGAUGGAAUGAGUAAUCUUGUUUAUGUUGUUUACUAUAAUGCCCUUGGUACCCUUCUUCUUCUUCCUUUCUUAAUCUUCCAUAGGUGCAGGUUUGUCAAAAUCAAAUGCUCUUCUGCUAUUUUUUUGUGAUUACUUCUUUACUUUUUAGUAGUUCAAAUUUCUAUCUUUUUUUUUCCAGAAGCAAUAUGGCUCCUAUUACAUUGUCUAUACUGUGGAGAUUCUUCCUUCUUGGUCUGUUGGGGUAUUGUACAAAUUUCUUCUCUGUUUUAUUGUUAUCAAAUUGGGGUCUUUUCGAUUAAAACAAAUAAAAUCAGAACUUUGCUUGUAAACUCUAUUGCAGAAUAUGUUUGCUGCAGGUCCUGGCCUAUACAGGUAUCAAAUACAGCUCUCCUACUCUGGCAGCUGCUUUAGGGAAUUUGAUGCCUGGUUUUACAUUUUUGCUUGCCAUCAUUUUCAGGUAUAGGACUGCCAAAUUGGGCUUAGCCAACUUCUACUUUUUGUUAGAUUCAGCUUGUUUGGAUGAUUGUUAUCUAUAGUAUUGUAUGCUGUUACUUUAAAUACAAUAUUUAUUUUGAUUGUUACUUUAAUUUUGUUGUAUCGUAUCGUUAAAUACAUCGUUAUGUAACGACGGAAAGUGUCACUUUAUAAAACGACGGAUUUGGUAUGGUGGCGUCGUUUCUUUGCUUUUUUCCUCUCAUCUUCCCUUUCUUUAUUAUUAAAUAAUUAUAUUUUAUUCUUUAUCCUACUUUUUUAUAUAAUAAUUCUAUUCUGUAUCCUAUUUUUUCUUAGUAAUGUUGCAAGUUUAUUCUUCAUAUUUUUAGUGCGUGAUAUCAUGAAACCAGGGGCGGAGCCAAAGUGUUGUUUGCGGGUUCGGCCGAACCCAGUAGUUUUUGUUCAAACCCUAUAUUUGUAUUAAGAAAUUCAAUGAAUAUGUACAAAUUAUUAAUUUAGAACCCAGUAACUUAAAAUGAUUAUAAUCUCGAACCCAUAAGGUUCAAAUCCUAGCUCCGCCUCUGCAUGAAACGACGGCAAACGAUACAAUCUAUCCAAACAUUGUCUUUAUCUAACAAUACAAUACAAUACAGUACAAUACAAUACGAUACAUUAUGAAACGACAUGUAACAACAAUCUAAACAUGAUGUUAAGUAACAUGCUCAUACAGUAUAAGGACUCUUAUAUUAUCAGUUAGCUUAACAUAUUGUAGUAGAAUAACUACCAUUUUUAUUAGGUAACCAAGUAAUGUUUGUCGUAGAAAUUUACCUAUAAUUAUUUUAUAAAUGACCAGGCUGUAUAAAUAUAUUUUAUACUGUUAGUGCAGUAAACUCACUUUUGUUUCUGAGUCAGAGUCCGCAGUUAGGUGUCUCCAGUACUUUUUUUUUUGGUUUCUUACCCGGUGUCCGCCUUGGCGUAACUCGUAAAGUUGUCAUGUGACCNNNNNNNNNNNNNNNNNNNNNNNNNUUCGAGCUGUGGAAACAGCCUCUUGCAAAAAUGCAGGGUAAGGCUGCAUACGAUAGACCCUUGUGGUCCGGCCCUUCCCCGGACUCCGCGCAUAGCGGGAGCUUAGUGCGCCAGGCUGCCCUUUACCCGGUGUCCGGUACUCGCAUUGGAGCAUGACUAUAUCUGGAUUCGCACUGCGUAGGACCCCAUUGGGGGGAAGUGCUCCCUGCCAAGAUUUUUCCAUACCCAAGGCUCGAACCCGAGACCUCUGGUUAAGGGAAGAGCAGCCCCAUCCGCUGCACCACAUGGUGUUUCCAGUACCCAAGUUAUUUUCUCAAGGCAUAUGCAAAAAGUUGUUAUCUUCUGAUUUAAACACAUAUCUUUUGAUAGUGCUGCAAAACCACUAGCUUCUGCCACUAAAUAGCCUGGUCUUUUGGACCAUGAGCUUUUUUCCCUCUAAAAUAGUUGAAUAGUAGAAGUGAUACUAUGCAAGAUUGCAAGUUUUUAGUUGUAUCUAGUGGUUCACAUGUUCAGAAUUUCUCAAGGUUUUUGCAAAAUUUUCAGGAUGGAGAAGUUAGAUAUAAGAAAGGCUAGCAGUCAAGCAAAAUCUCUUGGCACCAUAGUGGCAAUUAUUGGAGCAUCUAUCAUGACUCUAUACAAAGGGCCAAAACUACUUGGAUCAUCUACUUUACCUUCUCAUUCAUCUCAUCAUCACUCUUUACUUUCACAAGAAUCAAAUUGGCUACUGGGAGGUCUUCUCAUUACCAUCACCUGCAUCAUGUCUUCUGGAUGGAACAUUCUUCAGGUAAAACAUAUUACAUGUAAUUCAACAAUGAGAAUGAAUUUGAAGUUAAAAACCAUCUUCACAAUCUUUCAGAGUUAGCAGUGUGUUUCGUGUAUGUAGGACUUAUUUCAGUUAAUGAUAAUGCCGGUAGAACAUCGUGGAAACAACCUCUUGCAGAAAUGCAGGGUAAGACUGUGUAUAAUAGACCCUAGUGGUUUGGCCUUUUCCCCGAUACCGCGCAUAGCGGAAGCUUAGUGCACCGCGCUGCCCCUUUUUAUACUGCCUGUAGAACAUGUCAUAGUAGAGGAUGCUUCAAUCUGUUUCCAAUUCAUACCUCAUAAGUCAUAAAAAUUCAUUUUGCCUCUAGCAACCUUUUGGUAGGCUCGAUUCAUUUUACACUUACUAGAAUUUCACUUACUACUUAGUGCCUAAAUCCUUUAAUUGUAGACUGCUAAGUUGCUCCGACAUGGCAGUUUAGGUGUCGUACCCGUGUCGACACGACACUAGUAUGAGUGUGGGUAUGGGAUCCGUACCGGAUCUGGUCAAAUAAUUUUUGGUACUUUGACCGCGACGGCCGGAAAAAUUCGAGACGAGAUACAAUUUGAUUCUCCGAGGUUAAAUUUGAAGAAAACAACAUACCUUAUCUAUGAAAUCAAUCAUUUAUUUACCUACAACUUGAGAAUAAAAAAGAAAUCCACACUUUACAAGCUAUACAUAAGUAUUCGACAAAAUUUCUCAUAAUUUAGAUAUUUUUUUAUAUUUUUUGAAUUAUAUUUAGCCGGAUCCCCGCACCCGUAUCCGUACUAGGAUGAUAUCCCCGAAUCUUAGAAUUUACAUCUCGAAGGAUCCGACCUCUAGAUCCGCACCCGUGUCAAACACCCGCACCCGUGUCCAAGCAACGUAGGUAGACUGUCGUCAUCUCAACCAUUUUAACAUUACUGUGGCUGCUAAUUUGAUAUUGGUUUAUAGAUAAGCAGGUUUAUAUCUCAGAAUUAGGACAUUAUUACAAAUUCAUUUCAUGUUGUACUCGUUUAGACAGAUACGGUGAAGAAAUACCCUGAACAAAUGACAAUAGUGUUCUUCACUUGCUGCUUUGGGAGUAUUCAGUGUGCAAUUUUAACUCUGGUAUUAGAAAGAAAUCCAGAGGCAUGGAUGGUGAAGCCUGGGAUUGGAAUUAUAGCCAUUGUUUUCUCAGUAAGAAAUUUGAUGCUUCAUUUUCAGUUCUCUUCUGCACCUUGUUCUUUAACAGAUAUCUGAUUCUGUUUUCUUACACACUAGGCUGUAUCUGGAAGUGUGUUUCGUUACAACGUUUUGACAUGGUGCUUGGACAAGAAAGGUCCUCUUUAUGUAGCGAUGUUCAAGCCCUUGGGAAUGGUAAUUGCAGCAAUCUUGGGGAUCCUAUUUCUUGCCGAAUCACUCCAUUUAGGAAGGUAUAUAUAAAGCCAUUCUUUUCCUCAUGUUUACACAUGAUUGAUCAAUUAGCUUUGAGUUGCUUCUAGUUAUAUUACAAAAACUAGGUUGACAAACGGACACUACUAGUUUAGGCAUAACUACUAUUGCGAUUAAUACUACUACUAGUUUAGGUAUAGCUACUGCUACUGCUACUACUACUAGUACUACUUCUACUUCAACUGUCGCACCCUGCUCCCUGUAAUACUCUCUUUGUUUAAUGUUUAAGUUUUUCUUUUGCUGACCAUAAAAAAAGCUUGGGUUGCUUGCAAACAAAUUAAUGCAUCUGCAAUUCUCUUUUCCGCUGUAUUGUAAUUUAUAAUUACAUGACUCAUCUUCCUUCUGGUUUUGAAGUAUUAGUUUUUAAUGCACAUAUAUAAUUUCAUGAAGUAAAUUUUUUGUUACAAUGUGGUGGGCAGUGUUAUAGGAGCAGUUAUCAUAUCUGCUGGAUUUUAUUCUGUGCUGUGGGGAAAGGCCAAGGAGAUCAAGUCAAUGCUUGAGAUUGAGGACACUGUUUGUAUAAUUGACUCAUCAAGCCAAAGAAGCCCUUUAUUGCAAAAGUAAAUUUCAUUAAAAAAACACAUAAAAUAAAGUGUUACUUAUGGCCCUUUGACUAUGCUGCUCAGCCAUGUUAAUUAACACUACCCUUUCACAAGUAUUUGAAUGCAUUGGCGAGUGCUGCUUAAUUUCAGAUGAAGAUGAUAAAGGCUAGUGGAUGAGGCGUCAGAUAAACGAGACGCAAAUUAGCCACAAGUAGACCAGUACUACAUAGAAGAAAUGGAUUCAUGAUUUAAAUUUGAAGAAUUCAAUAUUUUUAUUUAUACGAUUGAACUCUGUAGAAUUUAAUAUUUAUAGAAAUUUUGGUUUUUCAAAUAUAUAUUUAUGCUCAAUGGAAAAUGUUAGGUUCAAUUGAACUCAUGUUGCAUCCGCCUCCACUUAAUAGGCGUAUGUGCCAAAACAUAUUGCAUCCAAAAACUCUUGAAGAAAGCAGAUAAUUAGCUUAAUUAAUACCAGCAAAUAUUUUUAACCUCCAAUAAAGAUUGUCUGUUUGCAUAAUUAUAUCAUUUGGUUAAACGUUGUUAGGGCAGAAAUUCGCUAUCCAGAAAUCUACCCCUUUCGAGGAGUGCAGCUUAAUUGAUUAGUCUACUUCCUGGAAUUCUGUCACUCUAUAAGUAUUAGGAGUAUUCAAGUGACAGAAAGUUAUUACUUUAUAAUUUAUAAGUGUUAGGAUAUCGACUCACAUGUGGACUUUUACCAGGCUAAACUGCAAAUGCUACUCUAUAAAAGAGAAAAAAAUACUUAUCUAUUCCGUGUUUACAGCAAAAUAGUAAACACUUUUUGUUUGUUGGAAAUAUUGAAUGAAGAUAAGUACUAUUCACCCGAUAAAACGGAGGACUAGUCUUCUUGUAGUAGUAACCUCCCCAUUGGCUUCGUUUAACGCCCUCAACAAAGUCGCAAGUUCUAGUAGACAACAUAUAAGGAAGAAAGAUUUGAUUAUUUGCUUAAGAUAAUAUUAUGAUAAUAUAUACCGCUGAAUUAAAGAUUUGAUUCGGUCAAAAGGGGUUGGUUAAAGCUAGAAUAUUAUUUACUUCAGAUACUUUUUUUCAGAAAGAAAAGAAAAAACAGACCGGUUAUUAAUGAUUUCAAAGAAGAGAGGGAAAAAGUGAUCAAUGGAGAAGGAGAACGAUGCAAAGUGAAAUAUACAUUCACCAUUCACUUGGGAAUUUAGAUAUUUAGGUGAAACACAUGUCAAAGCUGGAACAUAGAAGUUCUAUGUUUGAAUUUUAAGUCACACAUUAACAAAAAAAAAAUAAAAAAAAA